GAAAUCCUGUGGCGAGAGGAUUCAGUCCGUUUCGGCGGAAAUAGCGAGUAGGGAUUCCGCUGGACGCAGGCCGUCCUCCGAGACGACUUUGUCCGACUCGAACGCAUGUCACUCUCGCCCCGUGGACGCUGCAGCCAGUCUGGAAGUGCAAGCGCGACGGCCUGAAGGUCGAGAGUCGGCAGGUGGCCGGUGGUUUGCCUCGUGCGGGCCGUUCCGUCAGUAGCUCGUCUCCAACCAGAGUCGCGGGACAGGACCCGGCCAGAGUCUUUGGCGUCGACCGCCACACUUCCGCGGAGUGGGCGGACGAGCUCGAGGUCCGAAUAUCCAGGUCGCAUCAGCUGGGGACCGGAGGCUGGCAGCGAGGAGGUCCGGUCACCCACCCGACACGUCUUGAAACACGGACCAAGGAGUCUAACAUGUGCGCGAGUCGAUGGGUCUUGUCUAGGCCCACGGGCGCAAUGAAAGUGAUAGACUGCCAAGCUCAGUCACAGUGGGGAUCCCUCCUCUUCAGAGAGGGGAGCGUAUACAGGACUCGUCCUAUCUCCUCGCGGGUUGAGCGGAGUCUGAGCGUACAAGUUGGGACCGGAAAGUUGGUGAACUAUGCCUGCACAGGAUGAAGCCAGAGGAAACUCUGGUGGAGGUCCGCAGUGGUUCUGAUUCAGCGGCUCUGCAGCUGUUCAUUCGUCAGAUCCA
rnacentral:rRNA from 1 species